rnacentral:rRNA from 1 species
CAAUAGCGUAUAUUAAUGUUGUUGCAGUUAAAAAGCUCGUAGUUGGAUUUCUGGCCGGAGAGACCGGUCCGGGCUCAUCGUAGUCCGUGCACUCGCGUCUCAUCCGGCCUUCCUUAUGGGGAUCGUGCUUCCGGGUUCACUCUCGGGGCACGGGAUUCAUAUCAUUUACUGUGAACAAAUCAGAGCGUUCCAAGCAGGCACUUUUUGCUGUGAAUGUAUUAGCAUGGAAUAAUAAGAUAGGACUUUGGUACUAUUUUGUUGGUUUACAUACCAGAGUAAUGAUUAAAAGGGACAGUCGGGGAUAUUCGUAUUUAAUUGUCAGCGGUGAAAUGCAAAGAUUUCUUAAAGACGAACUACUGCGCAAGCAUCUAUCAAGAAUGUUUUCAUUAA